rnacentral:rRNA from 1 species
GACGAACUCUGGCGGCGCGCCUAACACAUGCAAGUCGAACGAGCGAGAGAGAGCUUGCUUUCUCGAGCGAGUGGCGAACGGGUGAGUAACGCGUGAGGAACCUGCCUCAAAGAGGGGGACAACAGUUGGAAACGACUGCUAAUACCGCAUAAGCCCACGACCCGGCAUCGGGAAGAGGGAAAAGGAGCAAUCCGCUUUGAGAUGGCCUCGCGUCCGAUUAGCUAGUUGGUGAGGUAACGGCCCACCAAGGCGACGAUCGGUAGCCGGACUGAGAGGUUGAACGGCCACAUUGGGACUGAGACACGGCCCAGACUCCUACGGGAGGCAGCAGUGGGGAAUAUUGCACAAUGGGGGAAACCCUGAUGCAGCGACGCCGCGUGGAGGAAGAAGGUCUUCGGAUUGUAAACUCCUGUUGUUGAGGAAGAUAAUGACGGUACUCAACAAGGAAGUGACGGCUAACUACGUGCCAGCAGCCGCGGUAAAACGUAGGUCACAAGCGUUGUCCGGAAUUACUGGGUGUAAAGGGAGCGCAGGCGGGAAGACAAGUUGGAAGUGAAAUCCAUGGGCUCAACCCAUGAACUGCUUUCAAAACUGUUUUUCUUGAGUAGUGCAGAGGUAGGCGGAAUUCCCGGUGUAGCGGUGGAAUGCGUAGAUAUCGGGAGGAACACCAGUGGCGAAGGCGGCCUACUGGGCACCAACUGACGCUGAGGCUCGAAAGUGUGGGUAGCAAACAGGAUUAGAUACCCUGGUAGUCCACACCGUAAACGA